rnacentral:rRNA from 1 species
UACGUAGGGGGCGAGCGUUGUCCGGAAUCAUUGGGCGUAAGAGCGUGUAGGUGGCUUGGAAAGUCUUACGUGAAAGCCUGCGGCUCAACCGCAGAAGUGCAUGGGAAACUACCUCGCUAGAGUCCGGAAGAGGAGAGCGGAAUUCCUGGUGUAGCGGUGGAAUGCGCAGAUAUCAGGAGGAACACCCGUGGCGAAGGCGGCUCUCUGGGACGGUACUGACACUGAGACGCGAAAGCGUGGGGAGCGAACAGG